UACGUAGGGGGCUAGCGUUAUCCGGAAUUACUGGGCGUAAAGGGUGCGUAGGUGGUUUCUUAAGUCAGAGGUGAAAGGCUACGGCUCAACCGUAGUAAGCCUUUGAAACUGGGGAACUUGAGUGCAGAAGAGGAGAGUGGAAUUCCUAGUGUAGUGGUGAAAUGCGUAGAUAUUAGGAGGAACACCAGUUGCGAAGGCGGCUCUCUGGACUGUAACUGACACUGAGGCACGAAAGCGUGGGGAGCAAACAGG
rnacentral:rRNA from 1 species